rfam:Ictidomys tridecemlineatus contig112335, whole genome shotgun sequence.
GGGGUUGUGGCUCAGCAGUAGAGUGCUUGCCUAGCAUGCAGGAGGCACUGGGCUCAAUCCUCAGCACCA